CUAUAUAACAAAAAAUUAAAUAUAAAUGAUACUUUUUAAUCUUAUCUUUAUAGAUCUCGAUGAAAUGGCUUCUUGAUUGAAUUCUCGUUUGCCUGCCUCUCGUUCUUCGGUCAACUCGAUUUGAUCGGCUGUUAUCAGUAAAACAUUAAACGGACAAAGAACAGAACAUGGCUACAGACUAUAGAUCAGAUCGUUCUCGAUGAUCAGGGUACAUGGAGAUUCCUCGGAUAUAUCUGCGUCGCUGAAAAAGGGCGUCAUGCAUGGCUCGCACUAGGGUGUCAUCUGCACCCUCUAUAACAUGAGCAGUUCUGUAGAUGAUCUUCACGGUCAAUAUAACGGAUGUCGUAAAAUCAAUUAGUGGCGAAUUGUGCCGCAGCCCGGAUCGUAUGCAUUGUAUAUGCAGCUCAUAAAAUUUCUUUUUUUUUUUUGUGAUCUUUUUGAAUUACUCUAUGUUCCUCGCAUCGGUUCCAAUCGAUAAUCAUUUCUUAUCAAAGUACAAUUUUAAAAUUUAUCUACAAUAUUAUACUUUGUUAAAUUUCUCAUUUGCAAUAGAAAUAUAAUAUUGGUAUGUUAUAGAUUAUAUUUCUGUAAGUCGCUUUUAUAUCAUUCCGACAAUAGCUUAGUUAAUAUUGACUUUUGAAUGGUCCAAUCUUAGGAAAAGCCUUUUAGCGUGUUUCAGCAUGCAGUAAAUAUUAUUAGGAAACCAUCCCCGCAUAGUAAGACUCCAACGACAUCCUGACAAAUCUUUGGGGUCGUAACCGAUUGAAAGAAUUUUCCGUGACGACUCGUUCAUUGUGCGUGUUUACUAGCUAAGCGAUUUUCUCGUUGUAGAAAGGUCGAAAUAUCUCUCAGAAAUACAAUAGAAAACUUGUAACAAAAAUCAUAGAAGCAAACAUUUUAAAGGGAAAUUUAUGUUAUUCACGGAUAACAACGAUUCAGAUCUCAGUAAAUUGUACAAGUUUUUAUCAUUCCAGAGACGUAUAUCUAUGAAAAAGAGAAAUAGUCCACAUAAAACUUUAACGUCCUUUGUGCGAACGUCACCCGUUACAACGCAACGUUGCUUUGGCUAAGAGCCGGUUAUCUUGAUACUAUUUCACUAAUCUGUGACGGUUAAUCCAAAACAUGGGAGGAAGAAACCGAAGGGAAGACGCACAUAUGAAAUUCAUCCUUCUUCAGCAAAGUUCGAGGAGUGAAAGAAAAGGCUCUCCUUGUGGCUACAACUCACAACUUACAAUUCGGUGGCUACGAAACGGCUACACCCUUUCAUGAACGCGCGGUUCAACCACUCGUGACCCGACCAACUUCGCCCCAAGUGGUAAGGAACAAUCACUGUAUGAAAGUCGAGUCAAUGCUAUAACAACGAGACGAUCCGCAAAUAAAGAGGAUCUGCAGGAAAUCUGCAAACACGAGCGAAGCAAACGGGCCGGUCCAUUAAUAUUCCCUCGUAGGAUCCGAAUAAGGAACGCGCAGUGGACUGAGAGGCUCCCCGACCGAAGCUAUAAAAAUUAAUUAGCUCUUAGAAGAAGAGACUGGCUUCUAUACCCAUGACUCGUUCACCAAAACUGUGAGACCAUCCUCCGUAGGAAACGACCUUACUUCGUUAUUUGAAGGAUCAAAGCUGGCACGGUUCCUGUCAUAGAUCCUCGAUGAAUGAUCGAUACGAUAUCCCUUGAACGUGGUUCGAUCCAGACCCUUUUCCCUACGUCGUUGUUACAAGGUAUAAUUAGUCAUUGAUUCCUCGGUUCGUGGAAUGAUGGGCAAUGAUCACACGAUUCGAUCUUGGAACAUUUUGUCAGGAUUAUUUUUUAGUCGUUCCAGAUCGUGCCUAAUAGAUGAUUCAUUGUGGCUUCGAAUUUUGAAAGAAAUAAUCUAACAUCUUCUUUUAU